CCUACGGGUGGCAGCAGUGAAGAAUAUUUGUCAAUGGGCGCUAGCCUGAACCAGCCACGUAGCGUGAAGGAUUGCUGCCCUAUGGGUUGUAAACUUCUUUUAUAUGGGAGUAAAGUACAGUAUGUAUACUGCUUUGCAUGUACCUUAUGAAUAAGGAGCGACUAACUCCGUGCCAGCAGCAGCGGUAAUACGGAGGCUCCGAGCGUUAUCCGGAUUUAUUGGGUGUAAAGGGAGCGUAGGCGGGUUGUUAAGUAAGUUGUGAAAGUUUGCGGCUCAACCGUAAAAUUGCAGUUGAUACUGGCAUCCUUGAGUACAGUAGAGGUAGGCGGAAUUCGUGGUGUAGCGGUGAAAUGCUUAGAUAUCACGAAGAACUCCGAUUGCGAAGGCAGCCUGCUGGACUGUAACUGACGCUGAUGCUCGAAAGUGUGGGUAUCAAAAAGGAUUAGAUACCCGGGUAGUC
rnacentral:rRNA from 1 species